GGAAAGGUACAUCCAGAAAAAACUCCUGGAGUUGGGAUUUCAAAAUCUUAUUUCCAUUUUAUUCAAGUUAUUUCCUCUUUCUGCUGCAGCAAGGCAAAACUGAUGAACAAAGAGCAGCUUAUUAUUAGGAAUUAAGUAUUAAGGAAUUACAACUUCAGCGAGGAUGCCAUGCCUCCUGGCUUAACUAGAAUGCAGUCUCUCUGACUCUCAACCCUAGCUUACUCAAGAAGCUAGAGAAUCCUGUUACCAAAUAUGUAUGGUUCUGGCUGGACUACAGGAAACAUAUUGAGGUUUGGGAAUUUGAUGGCGCUUUCUGCUGAAUGACAGGCGAAAGAGUGGUUUAUAAAAUUGUAUGAGUUUUUAGAAAAGUUUAUCUGCCUCCUACCUAUCAGAAAAUAUGAGUUAAUGUUUGCUAAUAUAAUUUGUUAUGAAACAAUAUAAAAUCAUGCCUCAAAAGACAGAUAUAAAAACAUAAAUUCCCUCAUCUUUAGAACUUUGUUUUCAAGUUUAUACAUAACAAUGUUAUGAAUUCUGUAGGAAUUUAAUUUUUUGUUUCCUGAAACUGACACAAAUAUUCAUUUAGAAAAUAUUU
rnacentral:lncRNA from 1 species